rnacentral:rRNA from 1 species
CAACCUGCCGCUUACUCGGGGAUAGCCUUUCGAAAGAAAGAUUAAUACCCGAUGGUAUAAAGAGUUCGCAUGUUCUCUUUAUUAAAGAAUUUCGGUAAGCGAUGGGGAUGCGUUCCAUUAGAUAGUUGGCGGGGUAACGGCCCACCAAGUCUACGAUGGAUAGGGGUUCUGAGAGGAAGGUCCCCCACAUUGGAACUGAGACACGGUCCAAACUCCUACGGGAGGCAGCAGUGAGGAAUAUUGGUCAAUGGACGAGGGUCUGAACCAGCCAAGUAGCGUGAAGGAUGACUGCCCUAUGGGUUGUAAACUUCUUUUAUAAGGGAAUAAAGUGAGGGACGUGUCCCUUUUUGUGUGUACCUUAUGAAUAAGGAUCGGCUAACUCCGUGCCAGCAGCCGCGGUAAUACGGAGGAUCCAAGCGUUAUCCGGAUUUAUUGGGUUUAAAGGGAGCGUAGGUUGACAUAUAAGUCAGCUGUGAAAGUUUACGGCUCAACCGUGAAAUUGCAGUUGAUACUGUAUGUCUUGAGUGCACAAGAGGUGGGCGGAAUUCGUGGUGUAGCGGUGAAAUGCUUAGAUAUCACGAAGAACUCCGAUUG